rnacentral:tRNA from 1 species
GCUCUCGUAGCUCAAGGCAGAGCAGGGAGAUACCGGUUCAACUCCGGUCGAGAGCA